rnacentral:rRNA from 1 species
UACGUAUGUCGCAAGCGUUAUUCGGAAUCACUGGGCGUAAAGAGUUCGUAGGCGGAUCAUCAAGUCAGAAGUGAAAUUUUGGGGCUCAACCCCGAAACUGCUUUUGAAACUGUUGAUCUUGAGUAUGUGAGAGGAAGAUGGAAUUCCUGGUGUAGCGGUGGAAUGCGUAGAUAUCAGGAAGAACACCGAUGGCGAAGGCAGUCUUCUGGCACAAUACUGACGCUGAGGAACGAAAGCGUGGGGAGCGAACAGG